UGUGGUCUCGUGGUUUUGCCGGUAUCUAUUGUUGUUGUUGUUGUUGUUGUUGUUGUUGUUGUUGUUGUCGUCGUCGUCGUCAGCGAUGUUGUUGUUGUGUGCGUUUUGUUUGCAUACGUCUUUGAAAACUGCGUUGCAAAGGGAGUUGAUCUGUGAGGACUUACUAAACUUCUGCGGCACUGACGACUGAUGGGCGAAGGGGCUGAUCAUGGAUGGCAGCCCGGACACCAAGGGGUCCCCAUGACUCCCCGAGCCGCCCAGUAGACCCUGGAUGGAGUACCCGGGCUGGCGGAGCCCCUCCAUGUCCAUGUACGGCUUGAGGUCCAUGGUGGCGCCCACUGACAAUCGUCGAGACACCGAGGAGACUGCGCCGCGGCGAAGCCCCACAACAUCCCCGUGGGCUUACAACAAUUGAUUUUUAUUACAU